GACGAACGCUGGCGGCGUGCUUAACACAUGCAAGUCGAACGGAAAGGCCCUGCUUUUGUGGGGUGCUCGAGUGGCGAACGGGUGAGUAACACGUGAGUAACCUGCCCUUGACUUUGGGAUAACUUCAGGAAACUGGGGCUAAUACCUGAUAGGAGCUCCUGCUGCAUGGUGGGGGUUGGAAAGUUUCGGCGGUUGGGGAAGGACUCGCGGCUUAUCAGCUUGUUGGUGGGGUAGUGGCUUACCAAGGCUUUGACGGGUAGCCGGCCUGAGAGGGUGACCGGCCACAUUGGGACUGAGAUACGGCCCAGACUCCUACGGGAGGAAGCAGUGGGGAAUAUUGCACAAUGGGCGGAAGCCUGAUGCAGCAACGCCGCGUGCGGGAUGACGGCCUUCGGGUUGUAAACCGCUUUCGCCUGUGACGAAGCGUGAGUGACGGUAAUGGGUAAAGAAGCACCGGCUAACUACGUG
rnacentral:rRNA from 1 species